rnacentral:lncRNA from 1 species
ACCUCUUUUCAUUACAACAUUACAUGAACUUGGCACAAUACAAUAAUAUUUUAAACAACUCAAUCAAACAAAAUACUCCUAUCAAUAUCUUAAUCAACCUAAGCUCACUUCCUACACAAUCAACUUUAUCCAUCAACCUUGCCCUCCAAACCUCUUCUCUGCCCCUAUCCUUUGGCUUCUCCAUCAACCUUGCAUUUCUUCCAUCCAUCAUUUCUGAACACCGAAU